rnacentral:rRNA from 1 species
CUACGUGCCAGCAGCCGCGGUAAUACGUAGGGUGCGAGCGUUAAUCGGAAUUACUGGGCGUAAAGCGAGCGCAGACGGUUACUUAAGCAGGAUGUGAAAUCCCCGGGCUCAACCUGGGAACUGCGUUCUGAACUGGGUGACUAGAGUGUGUCAGAGGGAGGUAGAAUUCCACGUGUAGCAGUGAAAUGCGUAGAGAUGUGGAGGAAUACCGAAGGCGAAGGCAGCCCCUUGGGAAUGUACUGACGCUCAUGUGCGAAAGCGUGGGGAGCAAACAGGAUUAGAUACCCUGGUAGUCCACGCUGUAAACGAUGUCGAUUUGGGGGUUGAACUUUGAGUUUGGCGCCCGUAGCUAACGUGAUAAAUCGACCGCCUGGGGAGUACGGCCGCAAGGUUAAAACUCAAAUGAAUUGACGGGGGCCCGCACAAGCGGUGGAGCAUGUGGUUUAAUUCGAUGCAACGCGAAGAACCUUACCUACUCUUGACAUCCAGAGAACAUUC